rnacentral:rRNA from 1 species
GACGAAGGGGGCUAGCGUUGUUCGGAAUUACUGGGCGUAAAGCGCGUGUAGGCGGUUGUUCAAGUCAGGUGUGAAAGCCUUGAGCUCAACUCAAGAAAUGCACUUGAUACUGGAUGACUAGAGGACCGGAGAGGAUAGUGGAAUUCCCAGUGUAGUGGCGAAAUACGUAGAGAUUGGGAAGAACACCAGUGGCGAAGGCGGCUAUCUGGACGGUUUCUGACGCUAAGACGCGAAAGCGUGGGGAGCAAACAGG